rnacentral:rRNA from 1 species
GACGAACGCUGGCGGCGUGCUUAACACAUGCAAGUCGAACGGAAAGGCCCUGCUUUUGUGGGGUGCUCGAUUGGCGAACGGGUGAGUAACACGUGAGUAACCUGCCCUUGACUUUGGGAUAACUUCAGGAAACUGGGGCUAAUACCGGAUAGGAUCUCCUGCUGCAUGGUGGGGGUUGGAAAGUUUCGGCGGUUGGGGAUGGACUCGCGGCUUAUCAGCUUGUUGGUGGGGUAGUGGCUUACCAAGGCUUUGACGGGUAGCCGGCCUGAGAGGGUGACCGGCCACAUUGGGACUGAGAUACGGCCCAGACUCCUACGGGAGGCAGCAGUGGGGAAUAUUGCACAAUGGGCGGAAGCCUGAUGCAGCAACGCCGCGUGCGGGAUAACGGCCUUCGGGUUGUAAACCGCUUUCGCCUGUGACGAAGCGUGAGUGACGGUAAUGGGUAAAGAAGCACCGGCUAACUACGUG